GGCGGACGGGUGAGUAAUGCUUGGGAACUUGCCUUUGCGAGGGGGAUAACAGUUGGAAACGACUGCUAAUACCGCAUAAUGUCUUCGGACCAAACGGGGCUUCGGCUCCGGCGCAAAGAGAGGCCCAAGUGAGAUUAGCUAGUUGGUAAGGUAACGGCUUACCAAGGCGACGAUCUCUAGCUGUUCUGAGAGGAAGAUCAGCCACACUGGGACUGAGACACGGCCCAGACUCCUACGGGAGGCAGCAGUGGGGAAUAUUGCACAAUGGGGGAAACCCUGAUGCAGCCAUGCCGCGUGUGUGAAGAAGGCCUUCGGGUUGUAAAGCACUUUCAGUUGUGAGGAAAAGUUAGUAGUUAAUACCUGCUAGCCGUGACGUUAACAACAGAAGAAGCACCGGCUAACUCCGUGCCAGCAGCCGCGGUAAUACGGAGGGUGCGAGCGUUAAUCGGAAUUACUGGGCGUAAAGCGCACGCAGGCGGUUUGUUAAGCUAGAUGUGAAAGCCCCGGGCUCAACCUGGGAUGGUCAUUUAGAACUGGCAGACUAGAGUCUUGGAGAGGGGAGUGGAAUUCCAGGUGUAGCGGUGAAAUGCGUAGAUAUCUGGAGGAACAUCAGUGGCGAAGGCGACUCCCUGGCCAAAGACUGACGCUCAUGUGCGAAAGUGUGGGUAGCGAACAGGAUUAGAUACCCUGGUAGUCCACACCGUAAACGCUGUCUACUAGCUGUGUGUGCCUUUAAGGCGUGCGUAGCGAAGCUAACGCGCUAAGUAGACCGCCUGGGGAGUACGGCCGCAAGGUUAAAACUCAAAUGAAUUGACGGGGGCCCGCACAAGCGGUGGAGCAUGUGGUUUAAUUCGAUGCAACGCGAAGAACCUUACCUACACUUG
rnacentral:rRNA from 2 species